UUGGCAGUGGUGGAUGAUUGUAGGGCGUUUGUUCUUUUCCGAUUGAAAAAAAAAUGGCGGGGGCGAUCACUGCACAUACUGCGUUCUGGCGAAGUUCUCGUGAAGCUUACCGCUAACGGCUCCACCGAGACUGAAAGUGCUGCACCUGAGGAUCCCUCCCAUUUCUUCCCUCCUCAGCAGAUUCAAGGUCACGCCGGCAGGAUAUCGACCGGCAGUCGUGGCCUUGAAGCCAAGGAGCCUUCCAUCUCCCUUUUGUCGAUUUCGGAAGCGGUGGUCCUGCCAUCGGUUCUCUCUAUCGGUGAGUUCGGAGGGAGAUCUAUACCGAAACUGAAGCUACACGAGAGGGCGGGGGAGAAAAGCGAUGGGGAAAGGGGAGAGGAGGACGGACUAGAAUCGGGCCUUCUGAACCGAGACCGCCGUCGCCCCGAUCCGAGUCUUGGCAGGACGUGAAGGCUCAGUCAACAGGCUUCUUGCUCCGACAUGUGGCGGCUUCGUUUAGAGAAAAGAUUUCUUUUUGGACAGGAGUACCUAAAGGCUGGUUGGUUCCUCAUAAACUGGUUCGUACCGUAGCGCAGAAACGGACGAGGAUAAAAGAUGAAGCAACAAUGAUGAAGUAACGCCUAUUAUUUACGUUAGUUAGUUCAUUACACAAAUUAAACAACAAGAUCACCGUGUCAAUCUAUUUUUAUAAUUAUAUUGGUGCUUUGACAUUGUUCAUUGCCUCCAUCGUAGAUAUCUAUCUCUAUUCCAUUUGUUUCAGUUUGAUUAUAAAUUCAGUCUGCUUUAGCUUUACAGGUCCUUGCCUUAACCAUCCUGCCUGGUUCUUGACCCCUUCCCCUAUUAGCGUUAGCAACGUUAAAUGAAACCUAAGACAAUUAUUGUAGAAUAAUUUUUAGGCAAAUAACUGCCUAUUCGGACUAAUUCAACAUCUCCAAACAACAUCACAAUAACUAAGCAGCAGGUUGGCUUUGCCGCAAUAAGGAUGCAGUUGCAGUGGUGCACGCUCUACAGGCAAACCAACCACCUGACCGUGGCGAGUGCAAUAGUGUAAGAUUACCUUCGAUGUCAACAACAACAAA